CGGCGGACGGGUGAGUAACGCGUGGGUAACCUACCCUGUACACACGGAUAACAUACCGAAAGGUAUGCUAAUACGGGAUAAUAUAUUUGAGAGGCAUCUCUUGAAUAUCAAAGGUGAGCCAGUACAGGAUGGACCCGCGUCUGAUUAGCUAGUUGGUAAGGUAACGGCUUACCAAGGCGACGAUCAGUAGCCGACCUGAGAGGGUGAUCGGCCACAUUGGAACUGAGACACGGCCCAA
rnacentral:rRNA from 1 species